UACGGAAGGUGCGAGCGUUGUUCGGAAUCACUGGGCUUAAAGCGCGUGUAGGCGGGAUGGCAGGUGCCUUGUGAAAUCCCCCGUCUCAACCGGGGAACUGCUGGGCAAACCGCCAUUCUUGAGGCAGGUAGAGGUGGCUGGAACCUUUGGUGGAGCGGUGAAAUGCGUAGAGAUCAAAGGGAACACCGAUGGCGAAAGCGAGCCGCUGGGCCUGUACUGACGCUGAGACGCGAAAGCGUGGGUAGCAAACAGG
rnacentral:rRNA from 1 species